AGGCCCCCGCUAGCGGCUAGCCAAGCAAGCAGCAAGCAGUCGCAAUUCCGUCGCCUAACCAGCAUUGCUCGCCUUACCUUUUCACCCUCUUACAAAAUCGCAUCGAGGCUUCCGUCAGCUGCAUAUAUUUGCCCCGUUCCAUCAGCCGGUCCCUCCGACGUCGUCCGUCGUUGUUCGUCGUCGCCAUUGCCGCCGCCACCGCCGCCGUCGCCGCUGCUGCUACUGCCGUCGUCAUCGUCGCACACGCAGUACGUCGUCGUUAUUGCUCUCGCAAUCGUCGUCUAGUCGCGCGUGGUUUUUAGCAGCGGUUGUAUUAAAGGGAAAGCGCGAGCGAAUAUAAAAACGGAGUCCUUGUGAUCGAGUAAGCUGAUUAUGAGUUGGAACAGUGCAGCAGUUCAGCACGCAUCCGGGCCAGCGUUGUUAAAGUGAGAACAAGUUUUCGUGGUUUUGUGUCGCGAUCCGGCUGAUCGACCGGAACUGUAAAGUGAGAGUAGCAAAAGGAAAGUAUUUUUUUCGCCGUUUCUCCUUGUCCUUAGUGAGAAAGAGAGCAAGUGCAGCGUCUAAAGGGAACGGCUACUAAAGCGAAGCUCGUAUGUCACACGUCGAAAGAACAAGCCGUGUCAUCGUUGAAAUAAGUGCUGACAAAUAAGAUAUAUAUCUACUUUUGUGUGUUGUUCGUUACUACAGUGAGAAGUUGCAAGCUUUGAAGAAUCAGCGAAGGCUCACCGACCGCCUAACCUGUCACGGUGACCGACAUCACGGCGAGAUCGCGGCUGAUACCUCCGCGUGUUCCGGCGCAAGAACAGCAGAAUCCGGAGUUCGACCGCGGGAGGAACCAGGAGUGCGCCGAAUAAAUGACGUAAAUCCGAGGAACGGAAACGCAACGUCACUCGCUAAUUCGCAAUCCCCCUUCCCCUACCAAACCUUCCCCUCUCUGUCUUUCUCUUCUACCGUUUCCACGUCUCUCCUGUCCCGACCCUUUCUCGUCCGACCCGGCACACCACGGCCUGACCCCGGAACCACUUGCGAUCCACGACCUGACACACAGCCGGACCUCUGACCCUGCCUCUUUACCGCUUUGUCGCCUACCGCCUUCUCUCGUGCUUACUCUCCAGCCUUUCUCUCGAACCUCACUCUCGAACCUUACUCUCCCGCCUCUCCUUCUUCCCGUUUUUCUCGCCGGCCCGAGAUCUGCUCCUUUCCACUAUUCCGGAGUGCGAGCCGCAGUCACCCUUUGUCUCGUCCCUUUCCGAAGAGGCACAGCCGCCGCUGAGGUGACCUUUUUCGAGAGAAAACGAGAAACGACAGAUUCGAGAGCUCUAGCGUCUCUAGCUCCGUUUUUCUUACGGCCUACUACUAGCGCUGCUACUAUCACUACUACUACCUCCUUGGAGUCGUCCCUCCUCGUCCAGUAGACUCUACACUCGAGACACGCGUAGCUUGAGAACCGGCUUGAAGGACACCACGACCGGCUUUUUGAGACACGUAUAUAUAUACACACACAAAUAUAUAUAUAUAUAUCUGUAAUAAAACUCGAAGCAACAGCAGCACAGCCUAUAUACCGACAAAGAAAAAUAAACGCGCCUAGAGAGCAUACACUCGUGGUCGACGUUUAGCUUCUCGAAGGCUUUCAAGCUUUGCCCAACUACCACGCUCCGGUUGCUAAGCGCGCCCUCUAAAGCUCACCGAGUGCAUCGUGCGAAGAUAAAAGGAGGAUAAGGAAGUGGAAUCGGUGGAAAGAGAUAUCGAGGAUCGAGGAUCUAUCGAACUACCUUGUCUCUAGAGGCAAAGCAGGUCGACCGUGGCUGACGCCCAGCAUCGCCUAAAAUAGCAGAUAAAUAAGAGAUAGAAGAGCCUAAUCGCUGGCAGACGUACACACGUGUGUCGUCCCUCUUUCGCCACUUCACUUCACUUUCUUUCACGGUGAGAUACCCCUUCGCCUCUUUCCCCGCCAGCAGAAGGGCCCGACGCACGUUCCUCUUCCGCCGUUAGCAAUCGCCGCUGCCUCUCGGUAACCCUGCCAGGAUCUACGCCGAGCGAGUCGAAAUCGGUGGCAACGGUACGAAAAAGAAAAGCGAAAGCACCGAAAGGAAGCUUUCUUUCUCUCUUCCGCUAAUCGCUAACUGACAAACAUCGCCUAGCACUGCACUGUCUCUGUGUUACACCACUAACGCUGCGAUCGAUAACAACUGUGUUUGAUAAAGAGCAAGAAGGCGAUAACGGUGUGUGAUCAUCGACGGUCUAAAAAUAGUCUAGAAUCGGCCGUACAUCGGCGCUGACAAUCGCAAGCCUUCUGCACGUACGUUAUAUACGUACACGGUGUUCGAUAAUACGCGACAACGAAUCGUAGGCAAUUAAAACGAGUAUUAACAGAGGGAAGAAGUCGAGGAGAGCGUAUAACGACGGGUAACUUCGCGGUCGAAGAUACGGAUAUAAAGUAGAUCAUCGUGGUCGUCCGGUUUCCGCGUGUUUUACGUGAUUCAUCUACGAGGAAGAUCGUCCGAGCUCUGGAAGAUCUGCAGCUUGCCGCAGACUCGUUCAUGGGACAAUAAGAUCGCACCGUACUCAGAGAAAUACAUCUUGCGAAAGCCGGUGCGAGUGAACGCGACUAAACAGGCAAGGCUACGCGGAGAUCACAGCCGGUCACAGAGGAAGAGGAUAAGUUAAAGUCGGUAGAAAAGCCGUACCGCGUGUUAGCCCAGCCUAAGCAAGGAGUCCCACGGUCUUCCAGGACUUGGAAUUAUGGC
rnacentral:lncRNA from 1 species